rnacentral:rRNA from 1 species
AGAGUUUGAUCCUGGCUCAGGACGAACGCUGGCGGCGUGCUUAACACAUGCAAGUCGAACGGAAAGGCCCCCACUUUUUUGGUGGGGGUGCUCGAGUGGCGAACGGGUGAGUAACACGUGGGUGAUCUGCCCUGUACUUCGGGAUAAGCUUGGGAAACUGGGUCUAAUACCGGAUAGGACCAUGGUUUAGUGUCUCAUGGUGGAAAGAUUAUUGUUUUGGUGCAGGAUGAGCUCGCGGCCUAUCAGCUUGUUGGUGGGGUAAUGGCCUACCAAGGCGUCGACGGGUAGCCGGCCUGAGAGGGUGGACGGCCACAUUGGGACUGAGAUACGGCCCAGACUCCUACGGGAGGCAGCAGUGGGGAAUAUUGCACAAUGGGCGCAAGCCUGAUGCAGCGACGCCGCGUGGGGGAUGACGGCCUUCGGGUUGUAAACUCCUUUCGUUAGGGACGAAGCCGCACUUUUUUUGGGUGUGGUGACGGUACCUUUGUUAAGAAGCACCGGCUAACUACGUGCCAGCAGCCGCGGUAAUACGUAGGGUGCGAGCGUUGUCCGGAAUUACUGGGCGUAAAGAGCUCGUAGGUGGUUUGUUGCGUCGUCUGUGAAAUUCCGGGGCUUAACUUCGGGGUGGCAGGCGAUACGGGCAUAACUAGAGUGCUGUAGGGGAGACUGGAAUUCCUGGUGUAGCGGUGGAAUGCGCAGAUAUCAGGAGGAACACCGAUGGCGAAGGCAGGUCUCUGGGCAGUAACUGACGCUGAGGAGCGAAAGCAUGGGGAGCGAACAGGAUUAGAUACCCUGGUAGUCCAUGCUGUAAACGGUGGGCGUUAGGUGUGGGGACCGGUUUUGGUUUCUGUGCCGUAGCUAACGCAUUAAGCGCCCCGCCUGGGGAGUACGGCCGCAAGGCUAAAACUCAAAGGAAUUGACGGGGGC